rnacentral:tRNA from 1 species
GUCUUCAUGGCUUAGUUGGUUAAAGCGUCGGUCUCAUAUUUAGCAGUAUGACCCACUCACAGAGUGGGGUUAUCCGAAGGUCGCGAGUUCGACUCUCGCUGAGGACA